rnacentral:misc_RNA from 1 species
AUCGCGUCGCCCCCCAUCAUUCCUCUCCUAACAGGUAGGCUUGGUGAUAGGGGCGGAGAUUGGUCUCCCGUGCUUUUUGUGUGGUUGGCCUAAAAAGGAGUCCCUUUCGGUGGAUACACGGCUAGUGGUGGUUGUAAAGACCCUCUUUAUGUGUUGUGUGUUGUGAGCUGCUAGGGUAACCCUCAACAAAGACCCCAUUGUAUCGUCUUGCGACGAUGCUUCGA